rnacentral:pre_miRNA from 1 species
AGAAAGGCAAACUAUGGGUUUCCGUGUUCAACUUUGACUGUCUGUCUUAUAUGAAAUUUUUUUAUAAUUUGUAUUUUCAUUGUUGUUAGAUGAUAAAACAUGAUUAAUAUUUUAUACGUGACUUGUUUUUUUAAUUGUUUUCAUAUUUUUUUCAAAAAAGACGGACGGUCAAAUGUUAGACACGGAAACUAGGGUUUGUCUUUUU